GCUGUGGUGGCUCAGUGGUUAAGGUUUUGUGCUACAGACCAGAAGGUCGUGUGUUCAAUCCCACCACCGCCA